rnacentral:rRNA from 1 species
GACGAUCGCGGCGGCGUGCUUAUACAUGCAAGUAAACGCUGAGGAGGAGCUUGCUUCUCUGGAUGAGUUGCGAACGGGUGAGUAACGCGUAGGUAACCUGUCCUGGUAGCGGGGGAUAACUAUUGGAAACGAUAGCUAAUCCGCAUAACAGUAGAUGUUGCAUGACAUUUGCUUAAAAGGUGCAAUUGCAUCACUACCAGAUGGACGUGCGUUGUAUUAGCUAGUUGGUGGGGUAACGGCUCACCAAGGCGACGAUACAUAGCCGACCUGAGAGGGUGAUCGGCCACACUGGGACUGAGACACGGCCCAGACUCCUACGGGAGGCAGCAGUAGGGAAUCUUCGGCAAUGGACGGAAGUCUGACCGAGCAACGCCGCGUGAGUGAAGAAGGUUUCGGAUCGUAAAGCUCUGUGUAAGAGAAGAACGAGUGUGAGAGUGGA